rnacentral:rRNA from 1 species
GACGAACGCUGGCGGCGUGCUUAACACAUGCCAGUCGAACGGAAAGGCCCCUUUGGGGGUACUCGAGUGGCGAACGGGUGCGUAACACGUGAGUAACCUGCCCUUGACUUCGGGAUAACUUCAGGAAACUGGGGCUAAUACCGGAUAGGAAUCCUUGCUGCAUGGUGGGGGUUGGAAAGCUUCGGCGGUUUUGGAUGGACUCGCGGCUUAUCAGCUUGUUGGUGGGGUAGUGGCUUACCAAGGCUUUGACGGGUAGCCGGCCUGAGAGGGCGACCGGCCACAUUGGGACUGAGAUACGGCCCAGACUCCUACGGGAGGCAGCAGUGGGGAAUAUUGCACAAUGGGCGGAAGCCUGAUGCAGCAACGCCGCGUGCGGGAUGACGGCCUUCGGGUUGUAAACCGCUUUCAGCAGGGGCGAAGCUUGUGGUGACGGUACCUGCAGAAGAAGCACCGGCUAACUACGUG